GUAGGGAAUAUUGCGCAAUGGGGGAAACCCUGACGCAGCGACGCCGCGUGAGUGAUGAAGGCCUUCGGGUCGUAAAGCUCUGUUGCAGGGGAAUAAAAAAAUGAAGGUACCCUGUGAGGAAGGAUCGGCUAACUUCGUGCCAGCAGCCGCGGUAAGACGAGGGAUCCUAGCGUUGCUCGGAAUCAUUGGGCGUAAAGAGGGCGUAGGUGGCUUGGUAAGUCAGGUGUGAAAGCCCAGGGCUCAACCCUGGAAGUGCAUUUGAUACUGCUGAGCUUGAGUGUCGGAGAGGUUACCGGAAUACCUGGUGUAGUGGUGAAAUACGUAGAUAUCAGGUGGAACACCGGAGGCGAAGGCGGGUAACUGGACGAACACUGACACUGAGGCCCGAAAGCGUGGGGAUCAAACAGGAUUAGAAACCCGUGUAGUCC
rnacentral:rRNA from 1 species